rnacentral:lncRNA from 10 species
CUGCCAAGACUACUAGCCGUGGACUCACGGACUGCCUUAUCCACCGUCAUGGUAGUCCACACUGCAUUGCCUCUGACCAAGGCACUCACUUUAUGGCUAAAGAAGGGCGGCAGUGGGCUCAUGCUCAUGGAAUUCACCUGUCUUACCAUGUUCCCCAUAAUCCUGAAGCAGCUGGGUUGAUAGAGUGGUGGUAUGGCCUUUUGAAGUCACAAUUAAAAUGCCAACUAGGUGACAAUACUUUGCAGGGCUGGGGCAAAGUUCUCCAGAAGGCCGUGUAUGCUCUGAAUCAGUGUCCAAUAUAUGGUACUCUUUCUCCCGUAGCCAGGAUUCAUGGGUCCAGGAAUCAAGGGGUGGAAGUGGAAGUGGCACCACUCACCAUCACCCAUAGUGAUCCACUAGCAAAAUUUUUCUUCCUGUUCUUGUGACAUUACGUUCUGCUGGCCUAGAGGUCUUAGUUCCAGAGGGAGGAAUGCUGCCAGCAGGAGACACAACAACGAUUCCAUUAAAGUGGAAGUUAAGAUGGCUACCUCGACACUUUGGGCUCCUCCUACCUUUAAGUCAACAGGCUAAGAAGGGAGUUACAGUGUUAGCUGGGGUGAUUGACCUGGACUAUCAAGAUGAAAUCAGUCUACUACUCCACAACAGAGAGAUGAGGUUUUGCCAUGUUACCCAGGCUGGUCUUCAACUCCUGGACUCAAGCGAUCCACCUGCCUCGGCCUCCUAAAGUGCUGGGAUUUCAGGUGUGAGCCACUGUGCCCAGCCCGAAGAAGCUUUAUCUGAUCUGAACCUGAUUUAGAUAAGGAGGUCCUGGACUUUGUUCCAAUGCUGCAGAGAGUGAGACUUCUGUGGGGAGAGGAGUGUCCUUUGCAUUUGGGAAAGAUGUGAACUACUGUGGCCAGAGGGUGAACUAUGGUAGAUUGCUUCUAAAGAUGGGAGCAGCAAUGUUUCUUCCCAAGCAACAUUCUCCUUUGAAAUGUGACUUUGCCACCCAUCGCAUCAAGAGGGUCUUAGAUACAUGAUGGCACUGUUGGCUUCCUGAAGACCUCUUCAUCCUGCAGAAGGUGCAACUCCACAGCAUCCUGAGAGGUUGGACACAAGGCUUGGAAAGAAUGAAUGGUGCCUCUCGGUGAAUUACUACAACCUGAAUCCUGUGACCCCACCUGUGAUGGCCCAAUGUUAUUGAAAUUACUGACUCCAUCCACUUAGCAAGUGGUAAAUACUCUGCAGGCAUAGAUUUGACUAAUGUGUUCUGUUCAGCGCCUAUUUCAACAGAUCUCAGCUGCAGGUUGCUUUCACCCCCGAAGGGACACAAUAGACCGUUAUCUGGCUACCACGGGGUACCUCGACAGUUCUGCCACCAUACACAAUCUUUGCAGGCAGGAUUUGAACUGCAUCUGAC